GACAACUGUGCAGGUUUCACCAUGACCCCAUUUGAUAAGUUGUACUACCUUUUAGUCUGAUAAAUAAUUGUAGCUACGCUAGAUGCAGAAUUGAGGAGACCUGUUGUUGUAAUCCAAGCAAUGUAUGUGUCAGGUCCUAGCUCUCUAAUGGACGAGCCUAUUUCUGGUUUUUCUUGUCUCUUUGAAUAGGAUGUGCUUUACUAAAGCACACGAACUGGCUAUUGAACCAAUACAACUUGGUGGGUAGAUUUAGAGUUCAUAAUAGAUUUAGAAAAAUCACAAAAUACAUUCGAAGGCAUAAAAAGUCAUUAAAAAUGUUGUUGCCAUAACUAAACUUCAGGUUAGGAUUUCACUGCUGAGGUUCCUCCUAUAUUUUCUGUGUUCAGUUAUUGAACCAUUGCGAAACUCUCAACCAUGAGGUAACACCAAUUUUGAAUUAGUGAUUCAUGUGGAAAUAGCCGGCAUUAUUUGUUCAAUAGCAAUGUUACUAUAAUUGUUCAAUAGCACUACUGAGGUUCCUCUUAUAUUUUCUGUUGCCAUAACUAAACUUCUUUUAUGGUUCUCAAGCAGUGUUACUUCAGGGCUGCAGGUACUAUAGAAGCCCUUGGAGAAACUCUACUAAUUUGUUCUCGUCCAGUUUUUUACUAUAAUUGCAACAAUGUAAUCACACACUUAUACAACAUUUUUUAGGAGAGAUGAGUGGGGGAGACUAGGAGAGUGAUGAGUGUAUUCUGUGAUUGAGACGGACUCCACCUAGGUAAUUGUCUUCUCCCUACCUCCCCUCGAUCUGCAGUCCAUCCACGCCUCCAUACCACUAGGUGUAAUUUAACAGCAACACAUUUGAUGCAUUUGGUUAUAACAUUUUUUUACUGUGAAAUUUCAAAGAACCUAAAAGAAUUAUUACAAUUUACUUUGUACACCUACACUUGUCUCACAGUAAUGCUUAUGCAAUAUACUAAGUUCCAUUGUACUCUAAAGGGGUGAGCUCAUGAUGUGAUUCCUCUCCCCAUAGAAUUGGUUCCUUUCAGAAGAAGUACAACAUUGAGAAUAUGUUGUGGUCUCCCAGACUAUUUCCCUAUCUAUUUUUGCAUAUGGUUGUCGUGUCCAUGUACAUUAGCAAUCUGCUCAUGGCGACUUUAAUUGAACCCACAUCAACAAUUUGUUGUUCUCCUCACAUGAUUCUGACGUACAUGGAGACUUCAUUUUCUCAAUGUUUUCAGCUGUGCAUGAAUCAGCAUUUACUUGCACAUCAUCCUUAGGAUGAGGGGUCUCUUGUGCUUUUCCUGAAAGAUUGCAAUAUAUAUAAGAAUAUAUCGCAUUGACAUUUGCUGAAAAAAGGAAAUGGAUAAUGAUCUGCAAGGAACAAUCACAAUACCUUCUUGCAGAUUUCCAUUGUUUUUUCUGAUGAAGCGACCACAUUCUUUUCUGUUAUUUGCAUAUCUCUGAUUCUAGAUGAACUGAUGGGGCCAACUUUCGGAACCACAGAUAUGUUCUUUGUGUUAUCAGCAGAACCACCAUAGGCUUUGCUGACAUGAGCAUCAUCACCCAAAAUUCCUAGAGAGCAAUUGGCUGAGUCAUAUACUGGGUCUGCUUGGACAGUAUCCGAGUCAUUAUCAGCUUUGCUGGUGACAUAGUUUCUAUUUUCCAGAGCUCCAAUCUCCAACACGAUCUCCCCACCGUCACCUUCUGAUGCUUUGCCACUCUGUUCCUUCUCACCCUUCUUGUGCCUUAGUGAGGAUAAUUCUGAUGAUGAAAUAUUGAAAGUAGUUCAACGGUGGCAAUGCUGAAGAAAGGGAAUGUUGUCCUUUGGAUCGAGAGUCGAGACAGAUGUUGAAAGGGAAUAUCCCUGCAAACUGGAUAUUGUUCUUAACAACUAAUAGCAUGGUAAAGUAAACCCACCCAAGGCAGUCACGCAAGUAAGCUGUUUCUUAGCGCUGUUACAACUGCUUCCAACUCAAUAUUUUCAUUCUGGAAUGCAAGACACAAAAAGUUCGAACGUCUACCAUGUCCAAGCAUAUGUAUUUCCCUCCAAGUUCACUACAAAUUUAAGGAGUGACAAACGGAUUCCUGACUUCGCACUUAAUAAGGAGAAUAAAUUAAGAACAUGUGCAACUGACGAAGGAAACAAAGCAGUACCGGAAUAAGAUGCAACAAAAAAUAGAAAUCAAACAAUCACACUGACUCACUGUGUAGGACGAGCAGGGGACUGGGGCCAGCCAAGAGAGAACACCAGCGUCCCUGCGAACUGUGGUGCUGGCCGUAGGCCGGCUGGCACAGGAGCACUUAGUCAAUGACGCAGCGACAAGCGGCAGCACAGAACAGAACAAGGCGGGACGCAGGUGGAUCUGCACAGCAUUCGAGUCAUUAUCAGCUUUGCUGGUGACAUAGUUUUUUCUUCUGCAAAUUAGUUCUGCAAAUUUGUUGAGUUUUGGAUCAUUUGUGCCUAUGAUGUGCCUUUCUAGAUGGGAUGGGACGGAAUGGCCAGAGCAGCCAGCCCAGUCCUGGGCGGAUACAUAUAGUUAGGGCUAAUAUUAAUAUACAAUUGUCUGGCUGAGGAUUACCCAAAAUGAUUGAAGCAUAUCUCUACUACUCUAUAAGAUUGUAUGCUACAGUUGUUUUUAUUAGAGCCGCACAAUUUUUGAUAGUCAUCAACCUUCUUACUGCAUGCAUACUGUCUUAACGUAUUGUUGAGUUUUGGAUCAUUUGUAAAAUUAGCAAUAUUAAUUUUUAAGCAUCUAACAAUUUGUUAUGCAUGGCGAAGCACGGACCCUAACCUAUAUUAUUAUACCUUAUGAAUGUAGGUUUUUGUCCCGCGAGAAUGGAAUCUCUAUUUGUAGGCUUGUCUCAUAACAAGCCAAAAACAUCCGUGGCAACCACAAUAGUUCGAGAAGGUAUUAUAAUUUUUCAUAGUCUGUAUGGAUCAAUUUGUAUAGGAUGUGCUUUACUAAAGCACACGAACUGGCUAUUGAACUAAUACAACUUGGU
rnacentral:lncRNA from 1 species